GAUGAACGCUAGCUACAGGCUUAACACAUGCAAGUCGAGGGGAAACGAUAGAGAAAGCUUGCUUUUUCUAGGCGUCGACCGGCGCACGGGUGAGUAACGCGUAUCCAACCUGCCCACCACUUGGGGAUAACCUUGCGAAAGUAAGACUAAUACCCAAUGACGUCCAUAGAAGACAUCUGAAAUGGAUUAAAGAUUUAUCGGUGAUGGAUGGGGAUGCGUCUGAUUAGCUUGUUGGCGGGGUAACGGCCCACCAAGGCGACGAUCAGUAGGGGUUCUGAGAGGAAGGUCCCCCACGUUGGAACUGAGACACGGUCCAAACUCCUACGGGAGGCAGCAGUGAGGAAUAUUGGUCAAUGGGCGAGAGCCUGAACCAGCCAAGUAGCGUGCAGGAUGACGGCCCUAUGGGUUGUAAACUGCUUUUAUAAGGGAAUAAAGUGGGAGUCGUGACUCCUUUUGCAUGUACCUUAUGAAUAAGGACCGGCUAAUUCCGUGCCAGCCGCCGCGGUAAUAC
rnacentral:rRNA from 1 species